GUAUAUAAUUAGUAUAAAGUAUGUUUGAUUUCCAAUCAAAAGGAGGAUUUAGAAUCUAUUCAGUG
rnacentral:tRNA from 1 species